UCUUCUCCUGUCAGUAUAAACAGCUAGUUCACUUAAAGAUACAUUUAUAAAUGUCUUCAUUGGUUUUUUUGGAAUGUCCUGGUAUCUCUUCUCUGUAUCAUAAAACCAAAUGGGAGCUGCGGAUGUGCUCCAAACUACCAUACAAAUAAAGGUUCUUUAUUGACAUCUAUAUAUCCACGAAUAACAUUUGACAUCAAUGGAAACUUUUGGACGAAAGGUUAUAUUAUACCAUUUCCAUUACCAUUUUCAUUAUAUUCCAAGCCUUUUGAAGCCAUACUGAUUCUCUUACUUUGAUGAAGCCAACGUUGAGUUCCUGUGCUGUGUAUCCUCUCUGCAGGUUACGUCUGACGUAGACGUCAUAGUUUCGAACAAUACGUGUGAUGAGAUCAGAGACGUCUUCUGAUCCAGCAGAGGUGUAUGGGAUAUCAUCAUGUGCCACAAAGUCAAUCUGAGGAUAAUAGGAAAAUAAAUAAACAGGAAUUCAGAAGUGAUGGUCCAAGGAGCAUCACGGACCACCUCGUCCACAUAACGACAGUGUAUAAGGGCUUCAUAACGUUCAUCCUCUGUCAUCACUGUAUAGCCUUUAUACUUGUGUGUCAGGGCAUCACUGCAUACUGAAAGAGAGACAAUCAAGGGGAACACAUGCUACAGCUUCUCCUGCUUGAAAGAUGUGGAGUUGUGUCCAACUGUCGUCGAUACUUUGCCGCUUAAGUAUCCUGUUCAGUGUGUGGACAACCAUGAUGGUCAAGAUGGACAAGUAGUGUUUGACUCUGAAUCAUUUCACAGUUAUUUCCCUUCCAUCGGUCAACCAAACGCUUCUGUUCAAUGCCUGGAAAAUCCAGAGGGUAAAGAUGGAGUAGUGGUGAUCGGCCGUGAAUCAUUUCCAAUGCUCCUGUUGCAUCUCUCAAGUGGAAGACCUUGAUAAAGAUGUAUUCAUUUACAUAUGCCUGUAAAGAAGUAUUAUUACCUGAAAAAAAUGUAUAUGUGAAUGAAUCAGUAUUUGUUUUUCAAUAAAAUAUUUUUAAACAGCUUUUAUAAUUUUUUUUUUCUUUGUUCACAAUUGAACUCAGAACAGACAAAUAAUUUACCACUCUUCAGGACCAGGGGCCGGAUGAACCAGCUGGACGAACACCCGGUUGUAAGACUAGGCUGGACGUAAAAUGUGCUUUAAGUCGUGCGUAGAAUUUAUCCACCUCAUUUUUCAUGUUAGCUUGGGCACUGCCCUUUUAGAAACAUAAUGUGUCCGAUUUCCUGCAAGAAAUUUGUUUUGACUAUAAUCCACGCACCAGAGCUGAAUGUGGAUGGGGCACCCUAUGAUAUGCACGCCCCUCAAAAGAGGCAAGCUCGUCGGUUUUAGUUAAAACUAAAAACCUUAAACUUAAAGAAACCACCUAAAUUUCUGUACGCUUGCUCUUUCCACUUUGUUGAUGGCGACCCAUUAUUCAUCCAUUUCCCAAGGAACGAUGCUCCAGUGAAGACUCCGAGGCGACAGGUACAGUGCAUUACAGCUUCUUGUUAAGUUACAUGCUCUAACAAAAGACAUUGUUUAAACUAUUUUUUUAUCCAUACGCUCCUAUUGGGCAUUAAUAAAAUUUAGUGCUAAGCUGAAGUUGUUAAUAACAGAAGAAAACUGUAACAAAACCGCGCAUAGAGGGAUAGGUAAAAUUAAAAUGCUGUCAUUUACUUACUCUGGAGUUGUUCCAAACCUGUUCAUUUCUUUUUGCUGCUGAACACAAAGGAAGAUAUU